UAGGGAAAGUUUUUCGGUGUAGGAUGAGACUAUAUAGUAUCAGCUAGUUGGUAAGGUAAUGGCUUACCAAGGCUAUGACGCUUAACUGGUCUGAGAGGAUGAUCAGUCACACUGGAACUGAGACACGGUCCAGACUCCUACGGGAGGCAGCAGUAGGGAAUAUUGCGCAAUGGGGGAAACCCUGACGCAGCAACGCCGCGUGGAGGAUGACACUUUUCGGAGCGUAAACUCCUUUUCUUAGGGAAGAAUUCUGACGGUACCUAAGGAAUAAGCACCGGCUAACUCCGUGCCAGCAGCCGCGGUAAUACGGAGGGUGCAAGCGUUACUCGGAAUCACUGGGCGUAAAGGGCGCGUAGGCGGAUUAUCAAGUCUCUUGUGAAAUCUAAUGGCUUAACCAUUAAACUGCUUGGGAAACUGAUAGUCUGGAGUGAGGGAGAGGCAGAUGGAAUUGGUGGUGUAGGGGUAAAAUCCGUAGAUAUCACCAAGAAUACCCAUUGCGAAGGCGAUCUGCUGGAACUCAACUGACGCUAAGGCGCGAAAGCGUGGGGAGCAAACAGGAUUAGAUACCCUGGUAGUCCACGCCCUAAACGAUGUACACUAGUUGUUGGGGUGCUAGUCAUCUCAGUAAUGCAGCUAACGCAUUAAGUGUACCGCCUGGGGAGUACGGUCGCAAGAUUAAAACUCAAAGGAAUAGACGGGGACCCGCACAAGCGGUGGAGCAUGUGGUUUAAUUCGAAGAUACGCGAAGAACCUUACCUGGGCUUGAUAUCCUAAGAACCUUUUAGAGAUAAGAGGGUGCUAGCUUGCUAGAACUUAGAGACAGGUGCUGCACGGCUGUCGUCAGCUCGUGUCGUGAGAUGUUGGGUUAAGUCCCGCAACGAGCGCAACCCACGUAUUUAGUUGCUAACGGUUCGGCCGAGCACUCUAAAUAGACUGCCUUCGUAAGGAGGAGGAAGGUGUGGACGACGUCAAGUCAUCAUGGCCCUUAUGCCCAGGGCGACACACGUGCUACAAUGGCAUAUACAAUGAGACGCAAUACCGCGAGGUGGAGCAAAUCUAUAAAAUAUGUCCCAGUUCGGAUUGUUCUCUGCAACUCGAGAGCAUGAAGCCGGAAUCGCUAGUAAUCGUAGAUCAGCCAUGCUACGGUGAAUACGUUCCCGGGUCUUGUACUCACCGCCCGUCACACCAUGGGAGUUGAUUUCACUCGAAGCCGGAAUACUAAACUAGUUACCGUCCACAGUGGAAUCAGCGACUGGGGUGAAGUCGUAACAAGGUAACCGUAGGAGAACCUGCGGUUGGAUCACCUCCUUU
rnacentral:rRNA from 1 species